CAUGCUGCGGGUUUUUUGGCAUGGUAAAGUUCACCUUGGCCUGAGAGUUUUCCCUUUUCUCCGGCUUCAAUGACUGGAGCAGCACCCCAUAAUGUGGUCAUGUUCAUCCCUUGCUAAACCAUAUCUGGUUUCAACGCAUCAAGAUGGCAACUGGACUUCAAAGUGGACUUCACAAACCAAUGCUUUAUGUCACGCUGGAUACGUCUUUUAUCAAACCAAGCCGGAAUUGACUUGUUUGAGUUUGGACUCCUUCAUGAAGACAGGAGAAGUUUCACAGAACAACCUGGACUUGGUUGCCUGUUUGAAGGGCCCGUAAGUCACAAAUCCCCUUAAAACCCCCUGGAGUCACUGAGGAUGUAUCAGGCCCCUGGAUCUGUUCUAUGCAGGGCUGGUGACGGGCUCUAGUCCGGAGCCAGCCAGGGGGAAGAGGACAGCUACUGUGAGGGCGCCCGGAGAGCCGGGAGUCACUCAGCCACAGAAACCCUGUGUUUGUGUAUGGAGCGCAGUGCUCUUAUCUCCCGCCUGUACUGACGCCACACUCUUCCUGUUUCAAAUCUUUACUGCUGAUUUUCUCUUCACUCUUGCCUCAGCCCCAGCCAGUCCUGUUGUUUUUUGGUGUUCUUGUUCUUUUCAGUGGAGAUUAGAUAGAGCUGCUCUGGCGACAUAAGAGACAGAAGCAUAGCUGGUUUGGAUGUGAGCUAAUAUUUUGUGCUUAUCACGAAAUAAUAGCCUGUUCGGG